UGGGGAAUCUUGGACAAUGGGCGCAAGCCUGAUCCAGCCAUGCCGCGUGGAUGAUGAAGGCCUUAGGGUUGUAAAAUCCUUUCGUGGGGACGAUAAUGACGGUACCCCAAGAAGAAGCUCCGGCUAACUUCGUGCCAGCAGCCGCGGUAAUACGAAGGGGGCUAGCGUUGUUCGGAUUUACUGGGCGUAAAGCGCGUGUAGGCGGGUCGUUAAGUUGGGGGUGAAAUCCCGAGGCUCAACCUCGGAACUGCCUUCAAAACUGGCGACCUGGACUCAAGCAGAGGCAAGUGGAAUUGCGAGUGUAGAGGUGAAAUUCGUAGAUAUUCGCAGGAACACCAGUGGCGAAGGCGACUUGCUGGGCUUGUAGUGACGCUGAGACGCGAAAGCGUGGGGAGCAAACAGGAUUAGAUACCCGAGUAGUCCCUGAGCGGGCUGGCAAGGCGCAU
rnacentral:rRNA from 1 species